UGGGGAAUAUUGCACAAUGGGGGAAACCCUGAUGCAGCGACGCCGCGUGGAGGAAGAAGGUCUUCGGAUUGUAAACUCCUGUUGUUGAGGAAGAUAAUGACGGUACUCAACAAGGAAGUGACGGCUAACUACGUGCCAGCAGCCGCGGUAAAACGUAGGUCACAAGCGUUGUCCGGAAUUACUGGGUGUAAAGGGAGCGCAGGCGGGAGAACAAGUUGGAAGUGAAAUCCAUGGGCUCAACCCAUGAACUGCUUUCAAAACUGUUUUUCUUGAGUAGUGCAGAGGUAGGCGGAAUUCCCGGUGUAGCGGUGGAAUGCGUAGAUAUCGGGAGGAACACCAGUGGCGAAGGCGGCCUACUGGGCACCAACUGACGCUGAGGCUCGAAAGUGUGGGUAGCAAACAGGAUUAGAUA
rnacentral:rRNA from 1 species